rnacentral:rRNA from 1 species
GAUGAACGCUAUCGACAGGCUUAACACAUGCAAGUCGAGGGGCAGCACAGGUAGCAAUACCGGGUGGCGACCGGCGCACGGGUGAGUAACGCGUAUGCAACUUACCUAUCAGAGGGGGAUAACCCGGCGAAAGUCGGACUAAUACCGCAUGAAGCAGGGGCCCCGCAUGGGGAUAUUUGCUAAAGAUUCAUCGCUGAUAGAUAGGCAUGCGUUCCAUUAGGCAGUUGGCGGGGUAACGGCCCACCAAACCGACGAUGGAUAGGGGUUCUGAGAGGAAGGUCCCCCACAUUGGUACUGAGACACGGACCAAACUCCUACGGGAGGCAGCAGUGAGGAAUAUUGGUCAAUGGCCGAGAGGCUGAACCAGCCAAGUCGCGUGAGGGAUGAAGGUUCUAUGGAUCGUAAACCUCUUUUAUAAGGGAAUAAAGUGCGGGACGUGUCCCGUUUUGUAUGUACCUUAUGAAUAAGGAUCGGCUAACUCCGUGCCAGCAGCCGCGGUAAUACGGAGGAUCCGAGCGUUAUCCGGAUUUAUUGGGUUUAAAGGGUGCGUAGGCGGCCUUUUAAGUCAGCGGUGAAAGUCUGUGGCUCAACCAUAGAAUUGCCGUUGAAACUGGGGGGCUUGAGUAUGUUUGAGGCAGGCGGAAUGCGUGGUGUAGCGGUGAAAUGCAUAGAUAUCACGCAGAACCCCGAUUGCGAAGGCAGCCUGCCAAGCCAUUACUGACGCUGAUGCACGAAAGCGUGGGGAUCAAACAGGAUUAGAUACCCUGGUAGUCCACGCAGUAAACGAUGAUCACUAGCUGUUUGCGAUACACUGUAAGCGGCACAGCGAAAGCGUUAAGUGAUCCACCUGGGGAGUACGCCGGCAACGGUGAAACUCAAAGGAAUUGACGGGGGCCCGCACAAGCGGAGGAACAUGUGGUUUAAUUCGAUGAUACGCGAGGAACCUUACCCGGGUUUGAACGCAUUCGGACCGAGGUGGAAACACCUUUUCUAGCAAUAGCCGUUUGCGAGGUGCUGCAUGGUUGUCGUCAGCUCGUGCCGUGAGGUGUCGGCUUAAGUGCCAUAACGAGCGCAACCCUUGCCACUAGUUACUAACAGGUAAAGCUGAGGACUCUGGUGGGACUGCCAGCGUAAGCUGCGAGGAAGGCGGGGAUGACGUCAAAUCAGCACGGCCCUUACAUCCGGGGCGACACACGUGUUACAAUGGCGUGGACAAAGGGAAGCCACCUGGCGACAGGGAGCGAAUCCCCAAACCACGUCUCAGUUCGGAUCGGAGUCUGCAACCCGACUCCGUGAAGCUGGAUUCGCUAGUAAUCGCGCAUCAGCCAUGGCGCGGUGAAUACGUUCCCGGGCCUUGUACACACCGCCCGUCAAGCCAUGGGAGCCGGGGGUACCUGAAGUCCGUAACCGCGAGGAUCGGCCUAGGGCAAAACUGGUGACUGGGGC